UACGGGGGGAGCAAGCGUUGUUCGGAUUUACUGGGCGUAAAGGGCGCGUAGGCGGCCACCGCAAGUCGAUUGUGAAAUCUCCGGGCUUAACCCGGAAAGGUCAACCGAUACUGCGGGGCUAGAGUGCAGAAGGGGCAACUGGAAUUCUCGGUGUAGCGGUGAAAUGCGUAGAUAUCGAGAGGAACACCUGCGGCGAAGGCGGGUUGCUGGGCCGACACUGACGCUGAUGCGCGAAAGCGUGGGGAUCAAACAGG
rnacentral:rRNA from 1 species